CACCCGGGAGAGCCUCCGGACGAGUACUUUCGCCUUUCCUCUCCCCUUUUCCCGCUUCUGUUAGUUCCUGGGCCUUGUUUGGGUUCCCCGAAAGGAGCGGCUGGGCGGCGCGGCAGUGGCCACCGGAAUCCGGCGCUGGUCGCAAACUAAUGCGGGGCCUCCGCGCGCGGCAGGGAAAGGGCCCCGGACGCGCUGAGCAGAGAAUCUGGGCGCAGUCACGAGCCUCAGUAUCUUGCACACGGCAGCCCCUUUCUCUGACCUCCCGCCCCAGAUCUCAGCAGCCCGAGCUCGCACGAGAGAAACGUGGCAGGUGCAGGCUCUGUCGGUGCGCUCGUAACUGCUCCAGGGAAAUUCUGGCUCAGGGCAGGAUUCAUGAGCCUACUGUGUACACAGGGCCAACUUUCCCGUCCCGGUGCGGGGGCCGGCGAGCCCGGGGAACGUCAAACGGCCUUCUCGUACAAAAGCCCUUGGGGACCUCGGAACAUCGUGGGCGACAGCUGAUUUUAAAGUAACUGUUUAACGAGAGAUCAAGAAGAGAACUUGCUCUCCGUCACCAAGUUCACCUCUCUCCCACACUCUCCAAGAAAAGAGACUUGAUAAGUGACCCGGCUCCCUAGCCCUCUCCUUGAUGGCUGGCCGAGCGCGCCCUGCCCAGAAGGGCCGCGUCUCCCCACCCUCGACCGCGAGCAGGAGCCCAGAGCUUCCUUUGUGCCCCCCUUGGCUGUGAACUUUCCCGCGCGACGCGCUUUCCCGCACGGAGUCGGCUGCGGAGCUCAGAGCCGCAAGUGCGCGCUCCGGUCUUUGAAGGUGCAGAUAAAAUGUGGUUCCCAACGUUGCCCCGAAUGGGGCCGGUUUCCUGUCUGUGUGUGAAGUGGAAGGACCGCGCCGGUGUGGAUACAGCGUUCCCGCCGGCUAAAUGGGCUCGCCUUCUGCUGGGAAAGCAGUCCUGGAGGGCAGAGGUGACGUGGCGCCUCCUAGGAAGUUCCUCUGCAGAGUACCUCCUGUUCUGCUUGUUUCUAUUUAAUUAAUAAUUAAAGUGUUUUUGCUUCUCUCUCA